rnacentral:rRNA from 1 species
UACGUAGGGGGCAAGCGUUGUCCGGAAUCAUUGGGCGUAAAGAGCGUGUAGGCGGCUCGGUAAGUCCGCUGUGAAAGUCCAGGGCUCAACCCUGGAAUGCCGGUGGAAACUGUCGAGCUAGAGUCCGGAAGAGGCGAGUGGAAUUCCUGGUGUAGCGGUGAAAUGCGCAGAUAUCAGGAGGAACACCGGUGGCGAAGGCGGUUCUCUGGGCCUGUACUGACGCUGAGGAGCGAAAGCGUGGGGAGCGAACAGG